rnacentral:piRNA from 1 species
GAAACAGUGCCUCAUUUCUGUGUGGUU